rnacentral:rRNA from 1 species
CAGUGGGGAAUAUUGGACAAUGGGCGAAAGCCUGAUCCAGCAAUGCCGCGUGAGUGAUGAAGGCCUUAGGGUUGUAAAGCUCUUUUACCAGGGAUGAUAAUGACAGUACCUGGAGAAUAAGCUCCGGCUAACUCCGUGCCAGCAGCCGCGGUAAUACGGAGGGAGCUAGCGUUGUUUGGAAUUACUGGGCGUAAAGCGCACGUAGGCGGCUUUUCAAGUCAGGGGUGAAAUCCCGGGGCUCAACCCCGGAACUGCCCUUGAAACUGGAUGGUUAGAAUACUGGAGAGGUGAGUGGAAUUCCGAGUGUAGAGGUGAAAUUUGUAGAUUUUCGGAAGAACCCCAGUGGGGAAGGCGACUCACUGGAC